rnacentral:rRNA from 1 species
CGGCGUGCUUACACAUGCAAGUCGAACGAUGAUGCCCAGCUUGCUGGGCGGAUUAGUGGCGAACCGGUGAGUAAUACGUGAGUAACCUGCCCUUGACUCUGGGAUAAGCCUGGGAAACUGGGUCUAAUACUGGAUACUACCUCUUACCGCAUGGUGUGUGGUGGAAAGGGUUUUACUGGUUUUGGAUGGGCUCACGGCCUAUCAGCUUGUUGGUGGGGUAAUGGCUCACCAAGGCGACGACGGGUAGCCGGCCUGAGAGGGUGACCGGCCACACUGGGACUGAGACACGGCCCAGACUCCUACGGGAGGCAGC